rnacentral:rRNA from 1 species
CCCUUAGAUGUCCGGGGCCGCACGCGCGCUACACUGAAGGAAUCAGCGUGGCUUUCUCCCUGACCCGAAAGGGUUGGGAAACCCGUUGAAUCUCCUUCGUGAUAGGGAUUGGGGCUUGAAAUUGUUCCCCAUGAACGAGGAAUUCCCAGUAAGCGCGAGUCAUAAGCUCGCGUUGAUUACGUCCCUGCCCUUUGUACACACCGCCCGUCGCUACUACCGAUUGGAUGGUUUAGUGAGGCCCUCGGAUCGGCCCCGCCGGGGUCGGCCCACGGCCCUGGCGGAGCGCUGAGAAGACGGUCGAACUUGACUAUCUAGAGGAAGUAAAAGUCGUAACA